GGCGCACGGGUGCGUAACGCGUAUGCAACCUACCUCAUACAGGGGGAUAGCCCGGAGAAAUCUGGAUUAAUACCCCAUGGUACUGUGAAGAGGCAUUUCUUUAUAGUUAAAGAUUCAUCGGUAUGAGAUGGGCAUGCGUCUGAUUAGCUAGUUGGCGGUGUAACGGACCACCAAGGCGACGAUCAGUAGGGGUUCUGAGAGGAAGGUCCCCCACACUGGCACUGAGAUACGGGCCAGACUCCUACGGGAGGCAGCAGUAGGGAAUAUUGGGCAAUGGACGAGAGUCUGACCCAGCCAUGCCGCGUGCAGGAAGACGGCGUUCUGCGUUGUAAACUGCUUUUAUCUGGGAAGAAAAGGCCCAUGCGUGGGACAUUGCCGGUACCAGAUGAAUAAGCACCGGCUAACUCCGUGCCAGCAGCCGCGGUAAUACGGAGGGUGCAAGCGUUGUCCGGAUUUAUUGGGUUUAAAGGGUGCGUAGGCGGCUAUUUAAGUCAGUGGUGAAAGACUCCGGCUCAACCGGAGCAGUGCCAUUGAUACUGGGUAGCUUGAGUGUUGGAGGGGUACAUGGAAUUGAUGGUGUAGCGGUGAAAUGCAUAGAUACCAUCAGGAACACCGAUAGCGAAGGCAUUGUACUGGCCAACAACUGACGCUGAGGCACGAAAGCAUGGGGAGCGAACAGGAUUAGAUACCCUGGUAGUCCAUGCCGUAAACGAUGAUUACUCGCUGUUAUGUUGCAUAAUGUAGCGGCCAAGCGAAAGCGUUAAGUAAUCCACCUGGGGAGUACGCCGGCAACGGUGAAACUCAAAGGAAUUGACGGGGGUCCGCACAAG
rnacentral:rRNA from 1 species